ACGGGAGGCAGCAGUGGGGAAUAUUGGGCAAUGGGCGAAAGCCUGACCCAGCAACGCCGCGUGAAGGAAGAAGGCCUUCGGGUUGUAAACUUCUUUUAUCAGGGACGAAGAACGUGACGGUACCUGAUGAAUAAGCCACGGCUAACUACGUGCCAGCAGCCGCGGUAAUACGUAGGUGGCAAGCGUUGUCCGGAUUUACUGGGUGUAAAGGGCGAGUAGGCGGGAUUGCAAGUCAGAUGUGAAAUACCGAGGCUCAACUUCGGGGCUGCAUUUGAAACUGUAAUUCUUGAGUGAUGGAGAGGCAGGCGGAAUUCCCGGUGUAGCGGUGGAAUGCAUAGAGAUCGGGAGGAACACCAGUGGCGAAGGCGGCCUGCUGGACAUUAACUGACGCUGAGGAGCGAAAGUGUGGGGAGCAAACAGGAUUAGAUACCCUGGUA
rnacentral:rRNA from 1 species